GGAGAAGCGAGAGAGACUCUGCAGAACUUGUGUAUAUUCUUUGUGGAGCCGACAAUCCAAAAACUUGGAUAAUUAUGCGUAAUUUCAGGUUUGAUACUGGUUUUAUAACAUACGGAUUUUGAUAUUUCUUACUGGGGUGGUGCCAGAAAUUUUAGGGGGGUGAGCCGUGAGCAGGUGACUGAAGCAACACAAAGUGUCACCAAAUCCCAGUAAGGUCUAUAUCCAGGGGUGGAGCACUAGAGCUGCAAGGGGGAGUCUAGAAAGCAGAAAACAAAGUAUCCCAG